ACAGUGGCCCCUGGCGGCCGGAGGAGUCACCGCGGGGCUGCGGGAGCCCAGGGCCCUUCAGCGCUGCCUUCAGGGGCCGGGCCAGCCCCGCCCCGCCAGGGACCAUGGCAACCACGGCAGCCGGGCAUUAUGGCAGAGACUGUCCAGUUUGACCAGUGUACAUGGCAGAGGGGCAUUGCUGGCACAUGUGGAGAGCAAGGAGACAUCAAGUGUGUGGGGGGGAGAUUUCAUACUGUUCCUUCUCUCCCCUCUGUCUGAGGGCUCUGUUUACAGCUUAUAUGCAAAUUGAGGAUAUGACCUGGCCCCUUGUGACCAGCAAAUUCAUCACAUUUGUGAUCCAAGGAAACUGGGAAGCCUGGUCACCUCCAGAGAAGAGAAUCAAGUGCGUGCUGUCACGUUGCCACCUGGUCCUUCAGUGAGGCAGUGAAAAUCGUCACAGAAAGGAUCUAUCAGCACAGUGUUUCUAACGCAAAGCAUCCUGCCUUACAUUCAAGUACCUUGAACUUCAGCCUGGAGAGGGAGUGGAAGCUCCAUUGCUUGAGUAACUGGACAAGGAAUGUAAGGAACAAUCCAGCCCUAGGUUUUGGGGUGGGCAGACACUAGCUGGUUUCAAAGGUCUCAACUAUCUCUAAUGUCUAAGAUUUUUUACCAUGCCAAAAAAUCCCAAAACAACCUUAAUUCAGUAGUUACUUACCUCCCAAGUCUGUGGGGAGAUUUAAUUGAUGUUUGGAAAGUAUUUUGAGGUCUUUGGGUGGAAGGUGCCAUGUAUGAUCUUUAAUAAAGUAUUAUUCAGAAAU